UAAUCCUGUUUGCUCCCCACGCUUUCGCACCUCAGCGUCAAUGUCAGUCCAGGAGGCCGCCUUCGCCACUGGUGUUCCUUCCGAUCUCUACGCAUUUCACCGCUACACCGGAAAUUCCACCUCCCUCUACUGCAUUCUAGCCUGCCAGUUUCAAAUGCAGUUCCCAGGUUGAGCCCGGGGCUUUCACAUCUGACUUAGCAAACCGCCUACGCGCGCUUUACGCCCAGUAAUUCCGAUUAACGCUCGCACCUUUCGUAUUACCGCGGCUGCUGGCACGAAAUUAGCCGGUGCUUCUUCUGUAGGUAACGUCAAGUACUCAUCCGUAUUAAGGAUAAGCCUUCCUCCCUACUGAAAGUGCUUUACAACCCGAAGGCCUUCUUCACACACGCGGCAUGGCUGGAUCAGGGUUGCCCCCAUUGUCCAAGAUUCCCCACUGCUGCCUCCCGUAGGAGUCCGGGCCGUGUCUCAGUCCCGGUGUGGCUGAUCAUCCUCUAAGACCAGCUACGGAUCGUCGCCUUGGUGAGCCAUUACCUCACCAACAAGCUAAUCCGACGCGAGCUCAUCCAUCAGCACAAGGCCCGAAGGUCCCCUGCUUUCCCCCGUAGGGAUUAUGCGGUAUUAGCCUGGGUUUCCCCAGGUUAUCCCCCACUAAUGGGCAGAUUCUCACGUGUUACUCACCCGUCCGCCGCUCGACGCCUCCUAGCAAGCUAGGAUCGUUUCCGCUCGACUUGCAUGUGUUAGGCCUGCCGCCAGCGUUCAAUCUGAGCCAGGAUCAAACUCU
rnacentral:rRNA from 1 species